GAUGAACGCUGGCGGCGUGCCUAAUACAUUCAAGUCGAGCGAACGGACGAGAAGCUUGCUUUUCUGAUGUUAGCGGCGGACGGGUGAGUAACACGUGGAUAACCUACCUAUAAGACUGGGAUAACUUCGGGAAACCGGAGCUAAUACCGGAUAAUAUUUUGAACCGCAUGGUUCAAAAGUGAAAGACGGUCUUGCUGUCACUUAUAGAUGGAUCCGCGCUGCAUUAGCUAGUUGGUAAGGUAACGGCUUACCAAGGCAACGAUGCAUAGCCGACCUGAGAGGGUGAUCGGCCACACUGGAACUGAGACACGGUCCAGACUCCUACGGGAGGCAGCAGUAGGGAAUCUUCCGCAAUGGGCGAAAGCCUGACGGAGCAACGCCGCGUGAGUGAUGAAGGUCUUCGGAUCGUAAAACUCUGUUAUUAGGGAAGAACAUAUGUGUAAGUAACUGUGCACAUCUUGACGGUACCUAAUCAGAAAGCCACGGCUAACUACGUG
rnacentral:rRNA from 1 species